CAACAAAGGUGGGAGAUAAGCCUGUGGGUGGUCUUGUUGUCCUAGGUUGUCCUAGUAGCCGGAGGUCCCUGCGCCGUGGCAGCGGUGGUGGCCAGAGCAGCAGCAGUAAAAGCAGCGAGCGGGACGGAGUUAGGACCGCUCGGAGCGCCCAGGUCUCGAGGUAGUGUAAGGUUUUUUUGCAAUCCUUCCACUCGCUGGCAGUUGCAGAAGAUCUGCUUUUUAAGUGAGAAGAACACGCCACCCCUCCGAGGGCUGCGGCUUCCUGGGGCUGUUUCGUCGCUCUUUGCUUUGCCGGCCCCUGGCGCUCACUCUCUAAUUCGUCCGCGCCCCUAAGUUUGCCGAGAGCUGGCUGCGGGCUGGGAGCAGGGUCCCGGCCGGGCGCCGCGGGCGGGGGCUGGGUAGCCACGAACCGCAAUCCCGAAGCAUCUUGGGGCCAUGUAUAUUUCAUCAAACGGACUUUGGGUGCGUCGCGUCUCGCAGCCAUCAACGCUAUGUUCAGUGACAUUUCUGACUUGAGUGGAGGAAUGCGCGAAGAAAACCGGGGCGAAAUUGCUUCGAGAGGAUCUUCUUGGCGCCAAGGCUAAUUGUCCUGAUUUAUGUCGCUUCUGACAAAAAAGAAAAAAAAAAGACCUAACGUCUUCAUCUGAAAUAAAAUGAAAGCGGUGCCAAGCGGGAUAGAGCCGCCUGGCCGCUGGUUCUGAUCCCCUGGGAUCCAGGGGGGGAAAAUCGUUCUGCGGCUUAAAAGAAAAGAAAGGAAUAGAAACAGAGAAGAGAGAGAGAGAAAGAAAAAAAAAAAAACCCACAGUAAAAGUUUAAGGCGAGAAGUGGUGGUGGCGGCGGCGGCGGCGCGGGGAAGCUGCGAGCGGAGAAGGCUGCCUAGACCUCGGAAGGCGGCGAUUUGGUUCCUAAUCCCACUGUAUUUUUGGAGGGAGAGGCACCUUUCUCAUCCUCCCUUCCUCUCCGCCCACCCCUCUCCCUCCCCCUCAUCUACCUGUCAAAGUCACUGAUCUUUUGCAUUUUGGAAGAGGACGUCAACGGGAAGGAAUUCCCCCUGUCAGGGUCCCGGCUCCGAGAGGGGGUGACGGGCGACAAGGCAGCCCCAGGGGCAAGAGACCAAGGUUGCUGGUGCCGGAAGAGGAGAGAGAAAGGAUUGAUGGGACACAGACACAGGACCAUAGACACCCAUCCCUUUGCUUCUGAUACUGAUACUUCAGCUCAUCUGAGGAGCCCUGAUGAACCCUGAGCAGCAAGGAUCACUCAGUAUUAUCGGAUGUACAACGGGAGAGCCAUCACUUUGCUAAAUUAUUAUCUGCUCCUGGACAUCUUUCACAAAUGUCUAAUAGAUAUGUUCUACAAGGAAAAAUGGCUGCAAGCUGUUAACGCCUAACACAUAAGCAUGUUAGGCUUCUACCAAAGUCCUCAGCAUACCUGACCGCGUAGAAUAUUUCAGUCUGUCACAUUCAGUCUGUUUUGGAAUCUGCUUUGAGAUCUCAGCCUAUUUUUUUAUAUAUAUACAGACCUACCUACAUAAAGAUACAUAUACACGUGUGCACACACACACACACACACACACACACACACACACACAUAUAUAAGAUACUCAUGUAUAUUUAAAAGAGACACUGAUUGCAUAGAAGACACGAAGACUGCCAAGAUUUUAGAGAUGUAUUUGUCAAGAUUCCUGUCGAUCCAUGCCCUGUGGGUGACAGUGUCCUCUGUGAUGCAGCCCUACCUUUUUGUGUGGGGACAUUAUGAUGUAUGUAAGAGUCUGAUUUACACAGAAGAAGGCAAAGUUUGGGAUUACACAGCCUGCCAGCCGGAAUCCACGGACAUGACCAAGUAUCUGAAAGUGAAACUGGAUCCUCCGGAUAUUACCUGUGGAGACCCUCCAGAGUCCUUCUGUGCAAUGGGCAACCCUUACAUGUGCAAUAAUGAGUGUGAUGCGAGUACCCCUGAACUGGCACACCCUCCUGAGCUGAUGUUUGAUUUUGAAGGAAGACAUCCCUCCACAUUUUGGCAGUCUGCUACUUGGAAGGAGUACCCCAAACCUCUCCAGGUUAACAUCACUCUGUCUUGGAGCAAAACCAUUGAACUCACAGACAACAUAGUUAUUACCUUUGAAUCGGGGCGUCCAGACCAAAUGAUCCUAGAGAAAUCUCUUGAUUACGGACGAACAUGGCAGCCCUAUCAGUAUUAUGCCACAGACUGCCUCCAUGCAUUCCACAUGGACCCGAAAUCCGUGAAGGAUUUAUCUCAGCACACGGUCUUGGAAAUCAUUUGCACGGAAGAGUACUCCACUGGGUACUCCACGAAUAGCAAAAUCAUCCACUUUGAGAUCAAAGACAGGUUUGCGUUUUUCGCUGGACCUCGGCUACGGAAUAUGGCUUCCCUCUAUGGACAGCUGGAUACAACCAAGAAACUCAGAGAUUUCUUCACAGUCACGGACCUGAGGAUCAGGCUGUUGAGACCCGCCGUUGGGGAAAUAUUUGUAGAUGAACUACAUUUGGCACGUUACUUUUAUGCGAUCUCAGACAUAAAGGUGCGAGGAAGGUGCAAGUGCAACCUGCAUGCCACUUCAUGUUUGUAUGACAACAGCAAACUGACAUGUGAAUGUGAGCACAACACUACAGGUCCCGACUGUGGGAAAUGCAAGAAGAAUUACCAGGGCCGACCUUGGAGUCCCGGCUCAUACCUCCCCAUCCCCAAAGGCACUGCAAACACCUGUAUCCCCAGCAUUUCCAGUAUCGGUACUCCUCCAAAGUUUAAUAGGAUAUGGCCGAAUAUUUCUUCCCUUGAGGUUUCUAACCCAAAACAAGUUGCUCCCAAAUUAGCUUUGUCAACAGUUUCUUCUGUUCAAGUUGCAAACCACAAGCGAGCUAAUGUCUGCGACAAUGAGCUCCUGCACUGCCAGAAUGGAGGGACCUGCCAGAACAAUGUGCGCUGCGCGUGCCCAGACGCCUACACCGGCAUCCUCUGUGAGAAGCUACGGUGCGAAGAGGCGGGCAGCUGUGGCUCCGACUCCGGCCAGGGAGCACCCCCGCGGGGCUCCCCAGCACUGCUGCUGCUGACCAUGCUGCUGGGGGCUGCCAGUCCCCUGGUGUUCUAGGGGUCACACCCAGCCCUCCGACAGGCCUGUGCUGUGGGGAAGCAAACACAACCCAAGCGAUUGCCACUGACAUAGAAAACACGCACACCCACUCCAACACAGUGUAUAAAAGAAGAGGGCCUAACUGAACUAAGCCAUAUCUCUCAGAACCGGACAGCACAGCGCACAUCGGAGUUGAGACUGUUCAUCAUUGACUCCAGAGGAAUUGGCAGCUGUUGCUAGUCUCACUGCAAAUCUCAUUGCCAGCUGCAGAGCUGAUUGCGGAUUGGAAAGGCUGUGAGAGCGCCCCCAAGAAGAAAGACGGAAAACAAACUAAUCAACCAACCUAAAAACAUUCGCUACUCUACCGCGGUGCACCCUAGUACCGCUCUGCUCAGUGUGUGGGCCAACCAAAUAAAAGCAUUCUUCGCUGUCAGGUGCAUUGUGGGUAUAAGGAAUUCUGUUACAAGCUGCCAUAUUGGCCUGCUUCAGUCCCCCACCCCCACCCCCAAAUUCCUUCCAACCUGUGCUUUAGUGAACGUUGCUCUGUAACCCUUGUUGGUUGAAAGAUUUCUUUGUCUGAUGUUAGUGAUACACACGUGUAACAGCCCCCUCCAAAGCGCAAGCCAGUCAUACCCCUGUAUAUUUUAGCAGCACUGCGGUCCCAGUGCCAGCUCACGUCCACUUCACAAGAGUGGUUAGAGGAAAAGAGAAAGUGUAUCUAUCCUUUUGUAUUCAAAUGAAGUUAUUUUUCUUGAAAUAAUGUAAUAUGUAGAUUUUUUGUAUUAUUGCCAAUUUCUGUUACCAGACAAUCCGUUAAUGUAUCUAAUUCGAUCAGCAAAGACUGACUGAUGUUUGAUUUUUUUUUUUUUUUUAUCCUUUUUGGUUUUGUUUCGUGUCGUGCAGAGAUUUCUCUGUAAGGGCAACGAGCGUGCUGGCAUCAAAGACUAUCGGUUUACAUAUAGCAAGUGUAAUACGAUUCCACCAAAGGACAUUUUAAAUGUUUUUCUUGUUGCUUUAACACUGGAAGAUUUAAAGAAUAAAAAUUCCUGCAGAAAUGUUAUCAGGAAAUUGUAUGGCCGUUUCUUAAGACGAAAGGAGCAACCACCCAGCAGUUUCCUAGUCACGUCACUGAUGUUUGUGUGGACUGAACACAAUCAGACGACAACUUUAGUAACCAGGAAGACGGAUUGAUGGUCAUUAGCUUGGACAACGUCUGCAAAAUAUGAGACUAUUUUCCACCUGGGGAAAAAAAUUAUAACCACAAAAACAGAGAGAAAGAAAUAUCUAAGUGAUUGCCAAGAUUAUGCCAAAGCCUGUUGGCAGAGCACUAAGAGACUUUUAUUUUUAAGUCAUGCUAUUUUCACAGAUUUAUGGUGAUCAUGUGACUCUAGGGAUGCCGAUCUAUGUAUCCUUCCAAAUACAGUGUUUACAUGGAGUAUCAUAAGAGGCCACCUGGGGAACCAGGACAGCAGCAGGGAAAUUGAAUGAUUAGCAAUUUGACUUUGAAUAUAUUCUAAGUAUUUAAAUGAAAUAUCAAAAUAUACAGCAGCAAGUAGACAUAACUGCUGUUCCUGAAAAUAAAGUCUGUUUCAAGUACUGCCCAAGGUGUAAUAAAUUCUUGUUUCUGCCUUUUAUUAGGCCAAUUACUGUACAUGACAGCAGAGGGAGCUGGGCGGGUGGAGAAUCACUGCGAAGUUUUGGAGGGGCUGAAACAGUGUAUGUUCAAUCCUAGCACACUGCCACCCUGUAGGUGACAAAUGUGUCAGCAAUGGCAUCUCUUGGAAUCAGAAAUAAUUAUGAGGCCAAACCAGAAGAUUAAAGACAAUGAAGUCCUACAUGACUUGGUGGGACAAUAACCAAUGACAGUAUUAGGUCAGAAGCCUCGUUCCAGGCUGAAUUCUUCACCCUACUGCCAGUCUCGGCUGAACUGGGGGAAAGGGGGGGCGGGGUACAAAUGUCUUCUGAUAAAUAACCUGAGUCAAAACUAGAUGAAGGAACAGCAUGUCUUAUUGGUUUUGUUCCCAGAAAAGCCAAUUCAAAGAAGGCAAUAAAAGUCUCCGGAACACAGAGAACGUCUGCUCUUCUCAACACCUGGUGCGGUGUGACUCACAGGCGACCGUCUUCAUUCUGCUUCCGGAGAACCAGGAGGGAAAAACACAGGCAUGCCCCUUGCAGAAACCCCACUAUUGCAUUUAACUAGAAAUUGAAAAAUAACAUCUGUGGAAAGCAAGUUAAUAUUGACUAAUAUACAGUUAUUUAAGUUCU